GAGCCGCUAGCUCAGCAGGUAGAGCAUCGGCCUUUUAAGCCGAGGGUCGUGGGUUCGAACCCCGCGCGGCUCA
rnacentral:tRNA from 1 species